CGAACGAAGCGGCAACAGCCCAAAUUUGAAAUCUGGCGUAAGCCCGAGUUGUAAUUUGGAGGUAGACUAUUUGGAUGUCUGUGUCAACUAAGUGCCUUGGAAUAGGCCGCCGUAGAGGGUGAGAGCCCCGUGAGUUGACUAGCAGUUAUUCAGUUUGUCUUCCGACGAGUCGAGUUGUUUGGGAUUGCAGCUCUAAGUGGGUGGUAUAUUCCAUCUAAGGCUAAAUAAUAGCGAGAGACCGAUAGCAAACAAGUACAGUGAUGGAAAGAUGAAAAGAACUUUGAAAAGAGAGUGAAAUAGUACGUGAAAUUGUUGAAAGGGAAGGGUAUCUGAUCCGACGUGGUAUUUAGAUGUCGCCUGCCCUUGUGGCGGGUGCUCCAUUUUUUUACUGGGCCAGCGUGAGUUAGAAGGGGAUGAAAAGGCGGGAACGAAUGUAGCCUUCCUCCCUUUGGGAGAGGGGUGUUAUAACAUUCCUGUUUAGUUCCUUUCUG
rnacentral:rRNA from 1 species